UCUAUCUAUGACCAUGAUAAGCUUGGGUGUUUUAGAAAUCAAACUAUAAAAUUUUAGAAACAAAAAAAAAUUACAAUGUCACACUUUUUUGGGGUCAAAUGUCAUUCCUGUACUUUUAUUAUGUUGAUUUUUUUUUUUUUUUUUGAAACACCUUUUAUUAUGUUGAUUAUGGCCAACAAAUUGAAAGAAACAAAACCAGUGGGGCAAUUUUGAGUUUGACUGAUAAUAAUAGGGGUGUCCGCAUUACGUGGUCAAUUCAAACGGCGUCGUUCGUUACCUGGCUUGGUAUUGGACGGCGAAAAAGAAUGGUGGGGUUGGUGCGGGGAAAUUAAAACUUUUGUUUAAUUUUAAUAUCUAAAUGAUUAAAAUACUAACAUAAUAAUGAUGAUAUGUUGUUGUCACGCUCAUCAUCAUCAUGUUAGUUUUCCCUCAAACUGUGUUUUUUUUUUUUUUUUUUUUGUAACACCCUCAAAACUGUGUUUAAUUUAAUUAUUUAGCAUUAAAAAGAACUUUCUGCAGCUUGCUUGUUUUCUCUAGAUGUCUAUUCCAAACAAGAAUCACUGAAUUAUAUGUGAUUAAACUAUCUUAAACAAGGUGGUAGCUUGAGCCUUUAUUAAACUUAUUAAAAAUUUGCAAAAUCAAAUGAUUUUAGUUCUAAUCAGUGGCGUCCAUGAAUGUUUUGACUUAAACAUUAUAUCACUAGUAUUAUUUUACUAAAGAACGUAUUCGAUUAAAACCGUAUAUUUAGUUUUUAAUCAUUAGUUAUAUAAUUUUAAUAAGAUACAUUUGAUUUAUCUUAUUACAAAUUUGUUCAUAUAUUGAUCAAAUUUAGCUACAGCCACACACAUAAUUUUCCAUAUAACACCCUUACAUCAGCGAUAGAAAUAGACAAUUCUAUAUGUGAUGUACAGUACUUACAACGUUAAAUUCUUCAAGAAAUUUAUAUAUAAUCUGCAAAUUUAUUAAUCAUUAAUAUUUUAACUAGUAGACCAACAACUGUCCACUGUUUAAAUCAUUUUAAGAAGUAUAAAUUUAUUUUGAAUUAAGCUACUUUUUUUAUUUGUUUAUUGUUCAAUGAUUUUGUUUAC
rnacentral:lncRNA from 1 species